CUGAGCACUUCUCCUCCUCCCCAGGCGAUGGGUCCCCACUGACCUCCAUGCUGUAACCUCCCAGCUCCAGCUCAGCUGCCUGUUGCCAAUGCUCGGAUGCCAGAGGCCAGCGCUUUGACCAGUGCCGCCAGGUGGCUCUCCCCACUCCCCAGGGGCAGGGCCAUGGGGCUCUCUGUCCCCCUGUGGCUUUGGCUGCUGCAUGCCGCCACGUGCUUCGCCAGCAGCCCGAACCCCAGCUACAGCACAGUGGCCAAGAAGGAGAUCAGCACGGAAGGGGACCUAGUCAUUGGGGGGCUGUUCCCGGUGCACGAGAAAGGCAGCUCCAACGAGGAGUGCGGCAAGAUCAAUGAGCACCGAGGGAUCCAGCGCCUCGAGGCCAUGCUCUUCGCCUUGGACGAGAUCAACAAGGACCAGGGCAUCCUGCCAGGGAUCACGCUGGGGGCCCACAUCCUGGACACCUGCUCCAAGGACACUUACGCCCUGGAGCAGUCUCUGGAUUUCGUCCGCGCCUCCCUGACCCGAGUGGAUGGCUCCGAACACAUCUGCCCUGACGGCUCCUACGCCAUCCACGAUGACGUCCCCAUGGCAAUUACCGGGGUCAUCGGGGGCUCCUACAGCGACGUCUCCAUCCAGGUGGCCAACCUGCUGCGACUCUUCCAGAUCCCGCAGAUCAGCUAUGCCUCCACCAGCGCUAAGCUCAGUGACAAGUCUCGCUACGACUACUUUGCCCGCACCGUCCCACCAGACUUCUACCAGGCCAAGGCCAUGGCUGAGAUCCUGCGCUUCUUUAACUGGACCUACGUCUCCACAGUGGCCUCGGAGGGUGACUAUGGUGAAACGGGUAUUGAGGCCUUCGAGCUGGAAGCCCGGGCCCGCAACAUCUGCAUCGCCACCUCCGAGAAGGUGGGGCGCUCCAUGAACAAGAAGACCUUUGAAGGAGUGAUCAAGGCCCUCCUGCAGAAGCCCAGCGCUAGGGUGGUGGUGCUGUUCACCCGCAGUGAAGAUGCCCGGGAGCUGCUGGCAGCUGCGCAGAGAAUCAAUGUCUCCUUUACAUGGGUGGCCAGCGAUGGCUGGGGUGCCCUGGAGAGUGUGGUGGCGGGAAGCGAGCUGGUGGCAGAGGGGGCCAUCACCAUUGAACUGGCAGCCUACCCCAUCCAGGAGUUUGCCAUCUAUUUCCGGAACCUUAACCCCUACAACAACAGCCGGAACCCCUGGUUCCGGGAGUUCUGGGAGCACAAGUUCCAGUGCAGCUUCCAUACCCAGGACUGCAGCCGGCACUCGCUGAAGACAGGCAAGUUCGAGCAGGAGUCCAAGAUCAUGUUUGUAGUCAAUGCUGUUUACGCCAUGGCCCACUCCCUCCAUAACAUGCACCAGGCAUUGUGCCCCAAUGCCACCAAGCUGUGUGACUCCAUGAAGCCGGUUAAUGGCAAGAGGUUCUACAAGGACUUCAUGCUCAAUGUCAAGUUUGACGCUCCAUUCAGGCCAGCAGACACCAAAGGCAUCGUUCGAUUUGACCGCUAUGGUGAUGGAAUCGGUCGUUACAAUAUCUUCAACUACCACAGAGCGGAUGGGAGAUAUAGAUACCAGAAGGUGGGCUACUGGGCAGAAGAGCUUACCCUGAACACCACCCUCAUCCCCUGGGCAAAGACCUCUGUUCCCGUGUCCCAGUGCAGCGACCCCUGCAAGAAGAAUGAAAUGAAGAGCAUGCAGCCGGGGGACAUGUGCUGCUGGAUAUGCAUCCCAUGCCAGCCUUACGAAUACCUGCUGGAUGAAUUCACCUGCAUGGACUGUGGUCUAGGAUACUGGCCCAAUGAUACCCUGAAUGGCUGCUAUGAGCUACCACAAGAGUACAUCCGCUGGAAAGACGUCUGGGCCAUUGGGCCAGUUACAAUCUCUUGCUUGGGUUUCCUCUCCACCCUCUUUGUCUUUGGGAUCUUCAUUAAGAACAAUGACACUCCCAUUGUGAAGGCCUCAGGCCGCGAACUCUGCUACAUCCUCCUCACUGGGGUCCUGAUGUGCUACAGCAUGACUUUCAUCUUCAUUGCAAAGCCCUCCACCGAGGUCUGCACCCUGCGGCGCUUGGGGCUGGGAACCUCCUUUGCAGUCUGCUACUCCGCCCUCUUGACCAAGACCAACCGGAUCGCUCGGAUCUUCAGCGGGGUGAAGGAAGGGGUCCAGCGCCCACGCUUCAUAAGCCCCACCUCACAGGUGGUUAUCUGUAUGGCCCUCAUCUCCUGCCAGAUGAUCAUCGUUAUCAUCUGGCUCAUGGUGGAGACCCCUGGCACGGGGAAGGAGACGGAGCCUGACAAAAGGUACAUUGUCACCCUCAAGUGCAACAACCGCGACUCCAGCAUGCUCAUUUCACUGACCUACAAUGUGCUCUUGAUCAUCUUGUGUACAGUCUAUGCCUUCAAGACCAGGAAAUGCCCUGAAAACUUCAAUGAGGCCAAGUUCAUUGGAUUCACCAUGUACACCACGUGCAUCAUCUGGCUGGCCUUCCUGCCCAUCUUCUAUGUGACCUCCACCGACUACCGCGUACAGACCACCACCAUGUGCAUUUCCGUCAGCCUUAGCGGCACCGUGGUCCUCGGCUGCCUGUUCACCCCCAAACUCCACAUCAUCCUCUUCCAGCCCCAGAAAAACGUCGCCAGCCACCGCGUGGCCACCAACCGGUUCAGCGUGACUGCAGCCGGCUCCAGCCACUCGCAUGGGUCGGCCUCUCAGUCCGUCCCCACGGUGUGUAACGGCCGCGAAGUGGUGGACUCCACGACCUCAUCCUUAUGAAAUGCCCUGUGGUUCCCAUGGGCAAGGGCAUGGUCCCCAGUGCAGACCCCCGCACGAAGACACAGGCCUUUUUCGUUCCCAUUGGGCCUUUUGUUUCUCAAAGCUGUGCUCCCAGCCUGCUCGCUGAUGCCGUCUCACUCACUGGGCCGGCCUUCCCCAAGGAGAGGAGCCGUCGUGUGAGAACUGGGUGCCACCUUCCGCUGCCCUGCUCCCGCAGCGCCGGCCCAGAGAGACACAAACCUGCUGGGGUGGUCGUGAUUGUACUGAAUGGACCCGCUGGGGCGUGGAGGAACCACACCCUCUCCCUGGGGAGCCAGCGCUGAGCCAGAUGGAUCUCCUGGCAGAUCCACCCUGUGUUACCUCUUGCUGGCCAGAUUACCAGAGAGAGCAAAACCCAAGCAUCUGUACCUCCCCACUUCUCUCUGCACUGGAAUAGGGUCAGGGGAAAGUCCACAGAUCCCACCUGGUUGCUCCCCCUUCCCCUCCCUCCCCAAAGGAAGCAGGACCCUCCCCCCCCGAAAGAGCAAAUACGAAGGGGUCAAAGGUGCUAUGGCUUGAAGAGAACAGACAGGCCCUUCUCCAAGACUACGCUGUCUCGCAGUGCUGGGAAGGAAUUCAGACUGUACAAGUCGGGGGCUCAGGGCUGCUGCUGAUUUUGCAGGAAGAUCCCUGGUUGGAAUGUGAAUCCCCUGCCCCCUCUGAGCUGUGAGAGACUCACUUUGAAAUGGACAAACAGCUGCCGAACACUCCGGCGGCAAAGCUGCUCCCGUGCUUCGCUGCAGUUUUCUUGGCACCUUCAUCCACCGAGAGCCAGCAGGUGAGUGCAAAUGGUACCACUCUUGUCCAGAGCUGCUCAGAGACUUUCAAACAGCAUCAUUUUGGUCUCAGAAUUGCCUGUUUUCUGCGUGAUGCAUAAAUCGUCCUGAGAGACUUUCUUUUUUUUUAACGAUGCUUUUUUGCCCCCAAAGAUUCAAAAUAUCAGGUCUCAAUAUGCUUGUUUUUGUUGGAGGACAACUAGUGACAUUCCCAGAGCCUGGAAGAGGGAAAAGCAUGUUCAGUGAGACUCUUUAAAACUCUUGGUUCUAUUUAUUGUAAACCUCCACUUAAUUCUAACACCUGACACACCCCUGGGAGAAAAACACUCUUUGUGAAAGGUUCAGCAUGCUCUGGCCUUUCAAUUGAGGGCUGAGAAAGCUGCCAUUCAGGUUCUCCAGUCCUCCAAGGAGUUCUCCAGCAAAAACAGGGACAUCAUCAUAAUCCUGAUUACUCAUCAUUUAUAUCCCACUUGCACCUGUCAGAAGACAAGGACACUGGGCUAGAUGGCCCAUUGGUCUGACCCAGUGUGGCCGUUCUUGUAUAGCUAUUCCUGAGAGUUGUAAGUGGAAAAAACAAGCAGGGACAAAUCCUUCCAGGUUGUCUUUAUGUGUCAAAGAAUCAAAACCAAAACAUUAGGGCCCAGUGCAGAUACAAAAUUUGUAUCCACAUCUGAUCCACGAUCUGCAAAAAUGGUUGGUGGGUAUCCAUGGAUAUGCAGGACUCUACAAAAAAAAAUCCCUUAAUUUUAACCUUUAUACAGGGGUGGCCAACGUAUGGCUCCGGAGCCACAUGCGGCUCUUCAGAAGUUAAUAUGCAGCUUCUUGUAUAGGCACCGACUCUGUGGCUGGAGCU